rnacentral:rRNA from 1 species
GUGGGGAAUCUUGCGCAAUGGGCGAAAGCCUGACGCAGCCAUGCCGCGUGAAUGAUGAAGGUCUUAGGAUUGUAAAAUUCUUUCACCGGGGACGAUAAUGACGGUACCCGGAGAAGAAGCCCCGGCUAACUUCGUGCCAGCAGCCGCGGUAAUACGGAGGGUGCAAGCGUUAUCCGGAUUCACUGGGUUUAAAGGGUGCGUAGGCGGAUAAAUAAGUCAGUGGUGAAAUCAACGGGAUCAACCUGUUAACUGCCAUUGAUACUGUGUAGUUUGAAUAUGAGAGAGGUAGGCGGAAUGUUGCAUGUAGCGGUGAAAUGCUUAGAUAUGCUACGGAACACCGAUUGCGAAGGCAGCUUACUAUUUCGUAAUUGACGCUGAGGCACGAAAGCGUGGGUAGCGAACAGGAUUAGAAACCCUUGUAGUCC